rnacentral:lncRNA from 1 species
CAGGGCCCACAGGGCAUCUCAGGGGCCUACAACUUCCAGUUACCAUACAGAACUCCUGCCCUCCCACUGCGGAACUCCUGGGCUCACCUGGCCGCCUCUUUUGGGAACCCAUGAAGAUCCAUGACAUCCGCUGGAACUUUGAGAAGUUCCUGGUGGGGCCAGAUGGCAUACCAAUUAUGCGCUGGUACCACCGGACCACAGUCAGCAACGUCAAGAUGGACAUCCUGUCCUAUAUGAGGCGGCAGGCAGCCCUGGGGGCCAGAGGGAAGUAACUGAUGCCCUACCCCACCCCACCCCAUCCCCUGCCCAUCAUGCAAGGGCUGGGGAGGGGCUCUUCAGGAAGGAAGCAAAAAACGGAAUCAUUCUACACAUACAUCCCAGAUUCCCUUCCUUAUUACAUAAAAGACAAGCUUGGCACAACUGUGUGCCUGUACCACUGUGCACACGUGGCAACUGUCCCACUGUGUGCCAUGCACUGCCUGCCUGGAACCCAGGGACAGACCAUCUGUGCUCACGGUUUGGUACAACACCUUCACACUUUCUCCAGCUUCCCGUUCCAAAUGAGCCCAAAGCAAACACAAGUUCUAAGUCCAAUGGUCCUGCUCAAACCUGAACAUCAUUCUUGGGGCCAGCAUCUCCCAUAUGCCCACAUGACACAUCCGGGCUCACUAUGCCACCAGCCUCCUUCAUCCCUCCUGAAGGACCCUCCUAAGUCUCCAACCCCAUCCCACAGUGCUCCUGAGAAGAGCCGAGACAAUGGUGAGCACGAUGGCCAUGUGCUCCAAGUCAGGGGUGGUGUCUCCAUGAAGGAGGGGCCCGAAGCCCUUGUGGGCGGGCCUCCCCUGAGCCCGUCUGUGGUGCCAGCCCUUAGUGCAUUCAGGCUUAGGCUCCCAGGCAGGGACACCAUCCCCCUCUCUGGAGGACAUGCCUUCUUCUCACUCUGUCCACUGGCAUCUCUCGCACCCCAUCUGCCCAAUAAACGUCUUUCUGCAGCA